rnacentral:rRNA from 1 species
AGAACGAACGCUGGCGGCAUGCCUAAUACAUGCAAGUCGAACGAAGGCUUCGGCCUUAGUGGCGCACGGGUGCGUAACGCGUGGGAAUCUGCCCUUGGGUUCGGAAUAACAGUUGGAAACGACUGCUAAUACCGGAUGAUAUCGAAAGAUCAAAGAUUUAUCGCCCAGGGAUGAGCCCGCGUAGGAUUAGCUAGUUGGUGAGGUAAAGGCUCACCAAGGCGACGAUCCUUAGCUGGUCUGAGAGGAUGAUCAGCCACACUGGGACUGAGACACGGCCCAGACUCCUACGGGAGGCAGCAGUGGGAAUAUUGAC